GACGUAGGAUGCGAGCGUUGUCCGGAUUUAUUGGGCGUAAAGAGUUCGUAGGUGGUUUGUUAAGUCUGAUGUUAAAGACUGAGGCUCAACCUCGGAAAUGCAUUGGAUACUGGCAGACUGGAGUGCAGUAGAGGCAAGUGGAAUUCCCAGUGUAGCGGUGAAAUGCGUAGAUAUUGGGAAGAACACCAGUGGCGUAAGCGACUUGCUGGGCUGUAACUGACACUGAGGAACGAAAGCCAGGGGAGCGAAUGGG
rnacentral:rRNA from 1 species